UUGAUUACGUCCCUGCCCUUUGUACACACCGCCCGUCGCUGCCCGGGACUGAGCCAUUUCGAGAAACUUGGGGACUGCUGAUCCGGUGGCUUCGGCCUCCGCUUCGGUGGAAACCAAUUUAAUCGCAGUGGCUUGAACCGGGCAAAAGUCGUAACAAGGUAGCUGUAGGUGAACCUGCUGCUGGAUCAUUACACGUACCGUGAUGGU
rnacentral:rRNA from 1 species